rnacentral:rRNA from 1 species
CUUAUGCAGUCGAACGGAAAGGCCCUUCGGGGUACUCGAGUGGCGAACGGGUGAGUAACACGUGGGUGAUCUGCCCUGCACUUUGGGAUAAGCCUGGGAAACUGGGUCUAAUACCGAAUAUGACCAUGCACUUCCUGGUGUGUGGUGGAAAGCUUUUGCGGUGUGGGAUGGGCCCGCGGCCUAUCAGCUUGUUGGUGGGGUAAUGGCCUACCAAGGCGACGACGGGUAGCCGGCCUGAGAGGGUGACCGGCCACACUGGGACUGAGAUACGGCCCAGACUCCUACGGGAGGCAGCAGUGGGGAAUAUUGCACAAUGGGCGCAAGCCUGAUGCAGCGACGCCGCGUGAGGGAUGACGGCCUUCGGGUUGUAAACCUCUUUCAGCACAGACGAAGCGCAAGUGACGGUAUGUGCAGAAGAAGGACCGGCCAACUACGUGCCAGCAGCCGCGGUAAUACGUAGGGUCCGAGCGUUGUCCGGAAUUACUGGGCGUAAAGAGCUCGUAGGUGGUUUGUCGCGUUGUUCGUGAAAACUCACAGCUUAACUGUGGGCGUGCGGGCGAUACGGGCAGACUUGAGUACUGCAGGGGAGACUGGAAUUCCUGGUGUAGCGGUGGAAUGCGCAGAUAUCAGGAGGAACACCGGUGGCGAAGGCGGGUCUCUGGGCAGUAACUGACGCUGAGGAGCGAAAGCGUGGGGAGCGAACAGGAUUAGAUACCCUGGUAGUCCACGCCGUAAACGGUGGGUACUAGGUGUGGGUUUCCUUCCUUGGGAUCCGUGCCGUAGCUAACGCAUUAAGUACCCCGCCUGGGGAGUACGGCGCAAGGCUAAAACUCAAAGAAAUUGACGGGGGCCCGCACAAGCGGCGGACAUGUGGAUUAUUUCAUGCACGCGAAGAACCUUACCUGGGUUUGACUGCACAGGAGCCGUAGAGAUAUUGGUUCCCUUGGGCCUGUGCGGGCAUGGUGUCCAGCUCG